UCUUCUUCCUUCUUGUAUCUUCCAUCUACAGUUUACAGUUGAGAGAGGGCGAACGAGAGGCGAUCUCCAUCCGGCGCUGAUUUCUUCCGUUCCCCAUAGAGGAUGGGGAACGGGGAAAGAGAUGGCCGUUGUACAAAUACUUAACUAGUAUGAGUAGUUUUGGUCCAGGCAGAGUUCGCGAGGUGGAGGUGGAUCUGUGCUGCUGGAAUAAGCGACUCCGGCUUAUUCUCCGCCUCACUGAUUCCUUCAAGCUUGGCGAUGCGAACCAGCCGGGUCGUUCAGCGUUCAUAGGUGUCAUUUUCGGCAUACAACUCAAGACGGCAACACAAGUUUAUAUUCUUCGCCAGGGAGGGGAUCGGCUUCAAGUUGGGCGCUCCGAUUGCCGGCGGCGAGGAAGGCCGGGAGGUUUUUACAAGGACGCCGGGAGGUUUUUACAAGGACCUAGAUGUAAUUUUUCUUUCUUUUGAAGGUGUUGUAAAACGAGCUGUAAUCACCAAAAUUUAUCAAUGAAAUACUCGGUUUCUCUCAAAAAAAA